GGAGCACCACACCAUAUGUCUAUCAUGCUGUCAACAAUGAACUUGAGGAUCUUACAAAUGGCACCUCCAAAACUGAACAUCUGGCAGUUGUUCUCCCCUGAACUGGGCAGUAACAAUUCUCCAGAACAUUCCGGGACUACAGCACAGACUACAGAAAAUUAGUACCGAUACAGUGGCUUGACUUGGUGUGGAGAUUAUUGUGCCCCAAAGCUCCUUGAAAGUUCAUCCAACUUGUGGAUGACAUUCAGAAAUGUCUAGUAAUGGCAAACAGUGGAUUUUCCAGCACUUCUCCAUUUUGCUCAAUAGUUUGGGCAGCACUUGAAAAGUUGCUUCUGUUGUAAGUAAACCUCAGCAUCAUUUAUUCUUUCCCUGGCUA